UCGGACGGCCAUAGUGGCUGGGUUCACCUGUUCCCAUUUCGAACACAGAAGUUAAAAUAGCCGACGUUUCCAACUGUACUGUAAUCUUACGGGAAAUUGGAAUCGCUGUCCGCC
rnacentral:rRNA from 1 species